UGGCGCAUGUGACUAAUAGCAUUUGAUUUGAUUUGAACUAGACAAAAACAUCAAGAGGACCAUGACACAACGUUCUAAGAACGUCCUAAAAACAUUCUUGGGAACGUCCCUGGAACAAACCUGGAACAGCAAAAAACUUGCAGUGGACCAUGACUGUUUAAAUUGAAUUAAUGUAAAUUAUGCAUUUUAAAGUAAACAGUCAAAUCCUGUUGCUACAGGAUAAUUUUUCUAUGACAAUACUGGUCAAAUUAAGAUCCUACAUUACAUCUGUAGUUUCUUGUUUAGAGGUGCCCUAUCAUUUUGUACAGAUUUUCCUGUGUGUGUAUGGUCUCUGUAGUUUUUACAUGGUAGCCAUUCUUGCAGUGAUCCAGGCAGGCCAAGCUUUGUGCCAGUCUUCUGCAGCCCAUCGAGAUCCUGGUCAUGACCAUAUCUCUGAUUGGUGAUGAGCAGAGCAAAAUUCUUCUCCAAGAGAGUUCUGACCAAGAGUUUCACCGCUGCUUCCAGUUUCAGGCCCCUCAGGUGGAGAGUGACCAAGUGCAAAACUUUAAGGUGGAGGUUCGAUGUGAAAAGUUUCUAUCGACAGAGAGAAAGGUCAUGAUCAAACCCUACAGUCCGAUGACAUUCAUCCAAACGGAUAAACCAAUCAACAACCCAGGACAAACAGUGCAGUUUAGAGUGAUCACUUUGGAUUCCAGUUUUAGCCCUGUCAAUCAGCUGGUGGGUGUUGAAAAUUUGAAAUAUUGAAAACAUUGAUUUAUUUGGUCUUCCUUUAGAACCUUAUCUCCACUAUUUCGGACAAAAAGAGAGACACAAGGAUCACAACAUCAUAAUACUGUGCGAUAGACAUGGCAAUCAGCUAUUAUGUAAAACUAUGUACAGUGUUGUUCAACCAAAUGGUUAAAGUGUCCACCCGGAGAAUGGAAGCGUGGGGCUUCUUAUACAUCCCAUUUGUACUACAUGAACAAUAAGGCUUCGGGAAUGGGAAAUGUUUUGAACAACUAUUGGACAAAAUCCAAAUCUUUAGCUCAUGUUAUCUGUUUGAUAAGGCUACACAAACAGUUGAGACAUAGCACUCAAUGCAAACAUACUGUGCAUGUCACUAAAUAAUACAACACGAUAAGACGAGGACCAGCUAGGUAGGUCAUCAUUCAUUUCCACAUGGCAGUUACCAGAAGCCUCCAUAUCAGCUUUAUGUGAACACAUCUGGGCCACCUUCAGUAAGCAAACUUCAGAACAUUGCAGAUAGAAAUGUCAUGAAUAGAACUGACGUGACUCCUUAUUCUACAUGUGAGACAGGCAUGUUUGGCCUACAUAACAUGUUUGUAUCUGAACAGUCCACAAGGUUGUGCCCUGCUCAAUGUGUCUCUUGUUCUAUGAAUAAACAGAAUGUUCAUCAGAAGAGGAUUGGACAGUGGGUCAGUACUUAAUCCAGUGGCAUCAUUUUGCAGCUUUCGAGUAAAGAUGACCACACCCAUGGAAAACAUCACCGAACUUGUCAGUUCCCGUCCUCCUUGGUCAUGACUGCCCACUCUUCCAUGGGUUGUGGACCAAUACGGAGAAGCAUGAGAGGGGCCGACAAGAGAAGAGGAGCUCACAGCACCGCAUGGGCCUGGCACAUAAGCUGGUUUCCCGCCAUAAACUCUGGGGGGAAAAAGUAAACCACAUGGGGCGACUAGACGGUCUACUAGGGGAACAGGAAGCAGGAUGAGGAGUCCACAUGAUUGCUGUGGCGAGUCUUAAAAGAGACGUCCAGUGAUGAGACGUGCCACGGAAUCGAGAGCUAAGGGGAAGAGGGAUCCAGCCAGGCAGACGAGGAUAAGAGGAAAAAGAACUGCUUUGACAGAUCUUCCCAGAGUCCACACCAGAGGAGUCCUGGCCGGGGUUUGGCAUGGAGACCAACGACCCCCACCCUGUCCGACAGCUACAGCAGUUUCCCUUACCGAAGACCUUAUGAGUCAGUUUGGCACAGCCCAACAGCGAGAUCCGGAGGUGCAAAGGCUUAUGGACAAAGUGGCAGUUAUUGAUGGGAAGAGGCUACAGGAUGAGGGUGAGUUACAUUUCCCAUAUUUUGCCAUACAUAACAGCCUAUUAUAUUGGGUGUGUAGGAGAAGGGAGGGGGAGUUUGAACUAUUGGUAGUACAGAGGUCAUAUCAAGACACUGUGCUGCACUUGGCCCUCUCCCAUGUCUUGGGGGACAUUUAGGAUGGGAGAAAACGGCUGAGCGGGUAUUCACCCUGUUCUACUGGCCGGGGGUGACCAGAGACUUAGCCAAAUAUUGCAGGUCAUGCGACAGGUGUCAAUGUACGGCCCCCAGGGCCCAUUUUCGCAAUCCCCUGGUAUCUCUUCCCAUUAUAGAAACCCCAUUCAAAACUAUUGCCAUGGACCUAGUGGGGCCACUGCCACGGUCAGCCAGAGGACACAAUACAUCCUUGUAGUAGUGGAUUACGCGACCAAAUAUCCAGAGGCUAUUCCAUUACGCACCAUGGUGACAAAAGGCAGAGCCAAGGAGCUGGUUAUGUUUUUGCGAGUAGGAUUACCCUCAACUAUUUUAACAGAUCAAGGCACUCCCUUCAUGUCCCGGCUCAUGAAAGACCUACAGUUGAAGUCGGAAGUUUAUAUACACUGAGCCAAAUACAUUUAA